GUCGGGUCACCGUGGAGACGUGCCGCUCGUGUUGAGCGGUGGUGGACAGCUGGUGGUUGUUGCUGCUCCACUCGGAGACGCUGUGGCGAAGGCCCGGCUUCAAGGGGAGGGCCGACAUCCUGCUGCAGCACAACAAGUGGACUUAUGGGUAAUCAGAACCUGUCAGGGCUGAAGGUUCCCCUCCAUCAAACUCCCUUUGACCUCCAGUCUGAGCUCCCAGGUGAAGUCUGCAGCGAGCAGCACAUGGAGGUCUUUACAGCUCUGAAGAUUUCACACAGCUGUUUUACUCUGUCUGUCUUAUUAAGAGUGCUGGAGCAACAAACAGCAUUUCCUCCAACUCCACACCUGUUGUUCAUCACCACGUUGAGGAUGACUCUCAGCUACUACCACCCCAAAUUCAACUCAAUGUGUGGAAGGUUGGAGCCAUUUCUCAAUCAAGACGUUCAUUUACUCUGCUCAUG